rnacentral:rRNA from 1 species
UACAGAGGUCUCAAGCGUUGUUCGGAUUCAUUGGGCGUAAAGGGUGCGUAGGUGGCGCGCUAAGUCAGGUGUGAAAUUUCGGAGCUUAACUCCGAAACUGCAUUUGAUACUGGCGUGCUUGAGGACUGGAGAGGAGACUGGAAUUCACGGUGUAGCAGUGAAAUGCGUAGAUAUCGUGAGGAAGACCAGUGGCGAAGGCGGGUCUCUGGACAGUUCCUGACGCUGAGGCACGAAGGUCAGGGGAGCAAAACGGG